rnacentral:rRNA from 1 species
GAUGAACGCUGGCUACAGGCUUAACACAUGCAAGUCGAGGGGAAACGCCGGGGAAGCUUGCUUCCCCGGGCGUCGACCGGCGCACGGGUGAGUAACGCGUAUCCAACCUGCCUCUGACUGAGGGAUAACCCGUCGAAAGUCGGCCUAAUACCUCAUGGCAUCGUCUGCGGGCAUCCAACGACGAUUAAAGAUUUCAUCGGUCAGAGAUGGGGAUGCGUCUGAUUAGCUUGUUGGCGGGGUAACGGCCCACCAAGGCGACGAUCAGUAGGGGUUCUGAGAGGAAGGUCCCCCACAUUGGAACUGAGACACGGGCCAAACUCCUACGGGAGGCAGCAGUGAGGAAUAUUGGUCAAUGGGCGAGAGCCUGAACCAGCCAAGUAGCGUGCAGGAUGACGGCCCUAUGGGUUGUAAACUGCUUUUAGGCGGGGAUAAAGUGAGGGACGUGUCCUUCAUUGCAGGUACCGCAUGAAUAAGGACCGGCUAAUUCCGUG